GGGAGCUUAAUAGUAAGAACGGAAAACCUCCUCUUGGUUAACUUUGGGAUGAUCUGAAGGUCUAGGAGUAGCUUCGUAAAUGGUUACAACAGGAUCACCCUUGAAGGGAACAAAAGAACCACGAAGACCAAUGUAGGCGAUUUGUGUAGGAUCAUCAGAACCGUCGCUUUUGGUGAAGAAGAUAUUGAGAUUUUGAAGGUUUUGAUAGAGACGAGUCUUAACAGGAAACUCGAAGAUAUGGCUUCCUUCAAAAGUCAAGGGAAAUUCAAAUGUUUCAGUGGCUUGGACAUCACCGAUUGUGUCAAAAUCCAAGUCGGUACGAUUGGGAAAAAGUGAAAAGGAGUGUGGAGCGGUUUCAUUAGGAAAAAUGCGAACCAAAAUUGAUUUUAGUGUUGCCGCACCUGCAAACGGUACCUGAAACAAGAGUUGGUCAUCAGCAUCACUUUCUACGAUAUCAGUGUCAUCAUAACGAAGGUCCCAAGGUUUGAAGACGAGUUUUCCGGAAUCUGGUACAGCUUCAUUCAGCGUAACAAUUGAUUCCUUUCGGAUGCAAGAAUACAAGGUAUCAUUUGGACCAGACUCAAACGGAUGUUCAUCACAGUCAGCGGAACAAUGGUGAGGGCCAGACAUUUAGUACAAACUUCUAAGGAAAUCGUUAAAAAUGCAAGACUAGGCGAGUUGAUAGGUGAAUAAAUAAACGGUAAACUCGCUAACAAAAAGUAAAAGGGAAAGUUAUUUGCGAGCACACUAAGACGUAAGACCGACACUCGGAAGCAAAUACUCAAACAAAACAACUAAUAGGAAGAAAACCAAAAGCGGAAAAAUAUGGCGAAAAAGCCUCCCGAGACCAGAAGUACGUUAUGCGUUAAAAUAUUUUUCUUAGAAGCUUUACUAGUCUUCAGCAAAAGAAAAACAAAAAUGGAAUCAAAAUCAGAAUUCAAAACUGAAAAGAAAGAAUAUAAAAGUAGUUUUUUAACGAUGAAUUAUUUUAUUGCUUUUUAAAAAAUUUUGAUUUUGAGACAAUAACCGAAAACUCACUUUUGUACCAAAGAAACGUUGACAGUAUAAGCAAACAACCUCCUUACUGACUUUUAAACACCAACUUGAAAAUAUUCGAUGAAUAGUAUGAAUACCAGA